rnacentral:rRNA from 1 species
UACGUAGGGUGCAAGCGUUAAUCGGAAUUACUGGGCGUAAAGCGUGCGCAGGCGGUUUUGUAAGUCAGAUGUGAAAUCCCCGGGCUUAACCUGGGAACUGCGUUUGAAACUACAAGGCUAGAGUGUGGCAGAGGGGGGUGGAAUUCCGCGUGUAGCAGUGAAAUGCGUAGAGAUGCGGAGGAACACCGAUGGCGAAGGCAGCCCCCUGGGCUGACACUGACGCUCAGGCACGAAAGCGUGGGGAGCAAACAGG